rnacentral:rRNA from 1 species
UACGAAGGGGGCUAGCGUUGUUCGGAUUUACUGGGCGUAAAGCGCACGUAGGCGGAUCGUUAAGUCGGGGGUGAAAUCCUGGAGCUCAACUCCAGAACUGCCUUCGAUACUGGCGAUCUUGAGUCCGGAAGAGGUGAGUGGAACUCCUAGUGUAGAGGUGAAAUUCGUAGAUAUUAGCUAGAACACCAGUGGCGAAGGCGGCCAACUGGUCCGGUACUGACGCUGAGGUGCGAAAGCGUGGGGAGCAAACAGG